rnacentral:tRNA from 1 species
GAAAUCGUGGUUCAGUGGCAGAAUUCUUGCCUUCCAUGUGGGAGACCUGGGUUUGAUUCCCGGCCAAUGCA